GCCUCUGUAGCUCAGUGGAUAGAGCGUCGGACUUCUAAUCCGUGCGUCGUAGGUUCGAAUCCUAUCAGGGGCG
rnacentral:tRNA from 1 species